UAACAAUGAUUUCCCUAGUAACGGCGAGUGAACAGGAAAGAGCUCAAAGUUGGAACCUGUUUGGUUUAGCCAAACCGGAUUGUAAACUGGAGAAGUGUUUUCCUGGCACGCCUAACGAAAAAGUCCAUUGGAACAUGGUGACAUAGAGGGUGAGAGCCCCGUAUUUUGUUAGAGCUGUUGUCUUUUGUGAUACACUUUCAAAGAGUCAGGUUGUUUGGGAAUGCAGCCUAAAUUGGGUGGUAAAUCUCACCUAAAGCUAAAUAUUGGCAAAAGACCGAUAGCGAACAAGUACCGUGAGGGAAAGAUGAAAAGAACUUUGAAAAGAGAGUUAAACAGUAUGUGAAAUUGUUAAAAGGGAACCGUUUGGAGCCAGACUGGCUUGAUUGUAAUCAAUCUAGGUCUCGACCUGGAUGCACUUGCAGUCUAUGCCUGCCAACGACAGUUCAUUCUGGAGGAAAAAACUAGGUGGAAUGUGGCCCCUCGGGGUGUUAUAGACGCUUAGAAAAUACUCUGGGUUGGACUGAGGAACGCAGCGGAUGCUAUUAGGCGAAGUUGCUGAGUGCUUUUAUUUUUAUCGGCUAGAAUUUCUGCUUCGGGUGGUGCUAGUUUAUACGAGUAAAACUCGCUUGGUAUACUUUUUAUCCGCUUAGGUUGUUGGCUUAAUGACUCUNAAUGA
rnacentral:rRNA from 1 species